AGGAGCAUGCAAUAAUAUCUUUUCAAGUGCUUUGGUGUUCCCUCGGAGUAUCCGGGGCAUAUCUGAGAAAUCAGGUAUAAAACCGAAGAGCAUCACUUGUUGAGACGCUGCUUCU
rnacentral:sRNA from 12 species